rnacentral:lncRNA from 1 species
AGCACGCGAAGGACAGGGCACCAUUCCCUCCCGCCAUCCAGAAACGCUCUGGAUUCCUUGCUUUGUGCUAAGGCCCACAGGCCAAGGUGUUACUGCUUGUGUCAGGCCGAGCGGCGGCGUGAAGCAGGCGAGGGCAACGGCACUAAAUGCCUAUGCCGGUCCGGAGCUGCCUAGCUAGGGCCAAGCUCUUCCGUUUUAGUCUCAGACCUCCGCGGAUGAAGCUGUGGACAUGCAGCACUAGAGAGCAGCCCGCUCACCAGUGCCCGUGUCGCCAGGCCCGACCACUGGGACACUUCUCUUACAGGUUGAGUUUUCAACUCAGUAUUUUGAACCAAUUUUUCAUUUUUAGGGAAUUCUUAGUUCAAAUGUGCAAAAGGCUCAACAAGUCCUCCUUUUACCCCUGCACUGCGUUUCUUUUCCCGCUUUCCCGAGGUCACUGAGGUUGACCUAGAAUUCGCAACUGACUGCACGCCAGCCAAGGCUCUGUUUACUAAGUCACCGUCACCUCUUAGCGUAAGGGACGCGCUUCUCCGGAUCCAGAUCUUCCUGAUGGUUUUGCCCUGCGCUGUUAGCUGUGCGCCCUUGCCAUUGGGCUAGGGAAGCGCCGACCCGUUCGGAAGUGUAACGCAGGGCUGGCUUUGGAGCUCCGUGGACAGACGGGCGCUAGUGACAGACCCCAGAAGGAGGAAGCCUAUACCCACCGAGCACACUGUACGCCGGGCGCCGAGAUGGCCGCGACCCCCUGCGGCCUCCAAGAGCCACGGGGUCCUCUCGGGCUCCGGGGCCCGGCUCUCGAACAGGUGCGCGGUUCAAGGCCAGGG